GAAUUUCUCUCUCUCCUUCACCCCAAAUUUUCGACCACUUCACUCUCUCCCUCAUCUCUCAUAUUUCCUCCAUUUUCCUCCAUUGUAGAAACCUUCGGAGCUUCCAAAAAUUAUACCAAACACCUCAAUCCACUCUUAAAUCUUACAUAAACACAUCCUAGCUACUUGAAUUCAAGAGGAUCAUUGAAGAGAGGCUUCCAAGCUAGAGUGAGAAAGUGUGGGUCUUGGUGAAAAAUUUGGACACGAGCAGAGCAAGGAAGUAAGUAACUCCGCUUUGACGGGAGAUUUUGAGUAAGGUCUUCAGGCUAAGCAAGGAGCGAGAUUGGUCUGGUGCUGGUGGGGGAUUGUUAGAUGAUGUAUUUACUUUAUCGUAUUUCCUUUUUAGCGAUAAAGUCUUGAUGUGGAGUUACUUUGAUUUUGAAUCAAGCAAUUUACUUGCG